UAACGCACAUUGUGCUCUCGGCGACUCCACUGUGCGUGUGACAGCGGCUAACCUGCUCCUCGGACAUCACUGUGCGGCCGCCUCGCCUCCCCGGACCCGCGCCUCGAAGCCUCGACGCCCUCCUGCGCUCUCGGCCAGCCAGCCCUGCGUUUGGGACUGUGCUGGCUGAUGAGCUAACCCCGGGAGAUGCCGCUGGCAGGAGCAGCUCUGCAGGUCACCUGGCAAGGCCUGUCCUGGUUCCCGUGAGCAGCACUAUGGUAUGAAUGCUUCCGACUUCCUGCCACCAAUGGAACCAUCCUGUUCAUCUCCACUCUUCAUGGAGGGAACGGAACAGGCCUUACCCUUCAAGCAUCACAUGAGGAAGCGCCUGUUGUGUUCUGUCUGUAACAUGUCCCAGUGUCAGGGCAAGGUAGAAUGCAGUCAGUCUGCACUCUGAGAUGGAGAAAGAAAAAUCAUCAUAGGAGAGCAGACAAUGCUCCCUGCAUGGACACACACGCUGGUUCAAACAGCUCUUCCUCAUCUGCAGUGAGCUAUGCUGGGAGAAGCUGUGCAGCCAGGAGCAAGCAGCAGAGCAUCUGUACACCACUCAGGGAGCAAAACCAUCAGGCAUUUUCUCCUCCAGACAUUCACACCUUUUCUUAUGUAACUGGUGCUGAAGUGUGUGCUUUAAAAGCUGCUUGCCAAAUCCAGGGGCUGGGAGGCAGCACAAAUGCUUCUAGCACUCUAGAUGAAAUUGAGGGGGAAAAAAAAUUAUCCAAACCCAAACACCCAGGAACUUGUACAAAUAUGUGAUUGCAACUUGGGGAUGGUUCAAGUGUCUGCAGCAGUGUUGCCCUGAAGAAACUGUACUGGCCUGGGGCAGUGCUGGCACCCAGACCACCAUCUGAUGAGGGUGGUGAGGAGCUGACCGUCCAGGAUAGAGGGGUGAGGAGCUGGGGGCCAUUUUUCUUACACAAUAUUAAAAAAAAAAAAAAACAAACCCUAAAAAAAGAAAAUCAGGUAGUGCAGCCAGGAAAAGGGCGCCAGGAAGGCUGGAGGUGGCUGAAAUACUCUUCUGAAUGGUGCCUUGUGCUGGCAGAACUUGCAGAUUUAUUAAAAAAAAAAAGCCAACAAAAAUGCGGGACUGCUCACCAGCAAAAAACAGGUAAAUCCUUCACUUUGUGAUUUUCGGAUGGCACUGGAGCUAGCCAGGAGAAGCAUCUGAGGAGAGAGAAGCUCUGAAGUCCAUUCCUGCCCACUCCAGGGAAGGAAGAAGCUGUCCAUGGCGCCUGAGGGACAUGGGGACACGGGUCCCUGCACAGCCAGGCACAGCAUCCUCGAGCCACCCUGCACGCUUGGAUCCCUGCCUUGCCCGCGAGCCAGUUGUUCCCUCUCCAGUACGCGCCGUACGCUGGGCUGCUGGCUUGUUUUUUAGGGGAAAAAACAAUAAUUUAUUUGCUUUGUUUUAAUCUCAUAACAAUGGGUAAUGGUAAUUUCUUCCUACCACUCUGUAGUGGCCUAGAAAAGGACAGCAUCAUCUCCACUGUAGCAAGAAGGCUUGUCCCAGGGCAUAAAAUUUUAAUUAGGAACAAUCACGCAGCCUUGAAAUGGGAAUCGCGAGCAGCAAAAAAGUCAAACCAUCAAUAAAAUAUUCAAUGGCAGAAAUGUAUUAUUGA